AAAAAUAUAAUUAUCUUGGAUAUGGAACUUCUUCGGCAACUUGUUUUCAGAAAUGAACUAGGAAUUGGAGCUAGAUGAUUACAUUUGGACAAAAUCAGCUCUUGAGAUGAGCAGAAUUGAAGACAAACAGCAGAAGAUGCUCCCUUGAAUGAAAUGAUGAUGAUUAGUCACAGCCCACUGCAAUUUGCAUACUUGUUACUCUUAAGAAUGUUGAACCUGAUGCCUAGACUCAGCAUUACUAAGCAAAUUUUGUGACAUAUAUGCUCCAGAUGUGGAUCUGUGGUCAUUCCUCACCUCUGUCUCGUAGCAGUUGUGUCAAUUUGAUCUCAUCCUUCACCAUCCUAAAUCUCAGUUUACUUGCCUCUAAAAUGGAAAUGUACAACUUUGCAUACCUAUCACACACUAUCACCCCAGUGCCACAGGAGAAAUAAGCUAUUUUUGCUCAACUUUUUAUCUGCUUGACCCUCGACCCUGGCCAUUAUGUCUUGGUAAACUGCUUGGCAUUUUUCAACCCAUCUCAGAGUUUUCCCUUUGGAAACAUUUUUAGGCCCUAUUUGGCAGAAGUUGUUGCUCCUGUGUAUAUAAUACCAUAACCACUGUAACAGAAUGGGGAGGUAGAAUUGGAUAUUAACACAUCUUUGGAGAGCUUGUUGUGUGCUAGGUAUUGUGCAAAUGAUAUUCACACAUUUUCUCAAUUAAUACCAAAACUUUAAGUAGGUGAUGAUAUCUCCUAUUAUCCAAAUGAGAAAAUAGCCUCUGGUGGUUAAAGUGAUAGAGCUAGUGAUCAGGAGAGUUCACAUUACUCUUUAUUUCAGACGCCAGAGACUAUUCUCUUUACACUAAAUAGCAUUCAGUGUGUUGCUUCAUUCUUUUUUUACUCCAAAUUAAAUAUCCUUCUUGAUUUUUUUUAAGAUUUCAUAUAUAUGGCAUUCCUUUUUAAAUAGCUCAACUGAGAUAUAAUUUAUGUAACAUACAAUUCUCUAAAGUAUGCAUUUAAAGGUUUUUAUUACAUAUACAGAUAUGUGAAAAAUAACUACAGUCAUUUAAAGAACAUUUUCAUCAAGUCAAAAAGAACUUUUUAGCUAUCACCUUUUAGUUAUCAAUCUUCUCCCAGACUGAUAUGGUUUGGCUGUAUCGCCACCCAAAAUCUCAUCUUGAAUUGUAAUAAUUCCCAUGUGUCAAGGGCAGGACCAGGUGGAGAUAAUUGAAUCAUGGGGGUGGUUUCCAGUUUCCCCAUACUAUUCUCAUGAUAGUGAGUGAGUUCUCAUGAAAUCUGAUAGUUUAAUAGGGACUUUCCCUCCACUUCACUCUCAUUCUUCUCCUUGCUGCCACCUUGUGAAGGACGUGUUUGCUUCCCCUUCUCCCGUGGCUGUGUUUCCUGAGGCCUUCCCAGCCAUGCUGAACUGUGAGUCAAUUAAACUUCUUUCCUUUAUAAAUCACCCAGCCUUCGGUAUGUCUUUAUUAGCAGGAUGAAAACGGACUACUACACAGAUCUGAGUAACCACUAAUCAAUUUUUUAUGUUUGUAGAUUUCCCUCUUCUGGAAAUUCAUAUGAAUGAAAUUAUAUAAUAGAUUAUAUCAUAUGUGGACUUUUCUGACUGGCUUCUUUUACUUAGCAUAAUGUUUUCAGGGUUCAUCCAAGUUGCAGCACGUGUAAGUACUCCAUUCCUUUCAAUGCCUGAAUACGACUUCAUUUUACUGAUGUACCUCAUUUUGUUUACACAUUCAUCAGUUGAUGGGCAUCUGGCCUCUUUCUAGCUUUUGGUUAUUAUGAAUAAUGCUCCUAUAAACAUUAAUAUGCAAGUUUUUGUGUAUACAUAUGUUUUCAUUUCUUUUUGGUAUAUACCUAGGAAUUAAACUGUUGGGUCAUAAGGUAACUUUGUUUAGUCAUUUGAAGAACUCCCAGACUAUUUUCUAGUGUAUGCACCAUUUUACAUUCCCCCCAGCAGUUCUGAUUUCUCCACAUUGUUGCCAACACUUGUUAUUAUCUGACUUUUUAAUCCUAGCCAUCCUAAUGGGUUUGAAAAGUUACCUCAUUGUGGUUUUAAUUUUCAUUUCCCUGAUGACUAAUGAUGUUGAAGUUCUUUUCUUGUGCUUAUUGACCAUUCAUACAUCUACUUGGAGAAAUGUUUAUUCAUAUUCUUUAUCCAGUUUUAAGUUGGAUUAUUUGUCCUUUCAUUUUUCUUGAUAAUUAUUUUAAAUCAGAAAAUUUUUUAAUUUUUAUUGUUAAAGUAUUCAUCUCUUUGGCUCUACACUUUCCUCUUUCCCUAUAUUGAUAAAAGAAACUCAUGAAGUUCAGUGCUGGCACAUUACUGACAAGUGGAUUCUCAUAAAGUUUCUUUGUAUAAUUUUAUAUAUUUUUUACAAUUUUAUUAAACUGAACUAGACAAAUUUUCAUGGUUGCUGGGAGGAUCCUGUAGGAUAAUUUAGGUCAAUGAGGUUUGGGGCAACUAAAGUGCUAUGCAAACACCUAGGGCCACAUGUUAUCUUCUAAGUUCACCGGAAUAAAGAGGAUUUCCAAGGGUCUGAGGUGAUGCAUGAAGAGGGCUUUCAUUUUUUAAUUUUAAUUUUGUCGCUUUGCUAGAAGUUUUAUUAUGAAAUAGUGUUGAAUAAUAUCAGUCUGUUUCUGCAUCUAUGAAGAUGGUUCUAUUUAUUUCUCCUUUAAUCUGUUAAUGUGGUGAAUUCAACUGAUUGCUUUUCUUUUUUUAUUAUUAUUAUAAUAAGUUUUAGGGUACAUGUGCACAAUGUGCAGGUUAGUUACAUAUGUAUACAUGUGCCAUGCUGGUGUGCUGCACCUAUUAACUCAUCAUUUAGCAUUAGGUAUAUCUCCUUAUGCUAUCCCUCUCUCCUCCCCCCACUCCACAACAGUCCCCAGAGUGUGAUGUUCCCCUUCCUGUGUCCAUGUGUUCUCAUUGUUCAAUUCCCACCUAUGAGUGAGAACAU
rnacentral:lncRNA from 10 species